CUGACAUCGAAAGGAAGUACAGAUUUGUCAAUGAAAACAAGGCUCAAAUCUGUGAAUUGUUGACCAGCAGAAGAGGUGAGGCAUCAUCCCCUUCUUUCACGCGCUCCUCAGCUUUGGGCAGGCAUGGAGAGAGGAAACGGCACUCCGUACUUGACAUCGGGAAUGUGUGAAGAGACGAUGAUUCACUUUGUGUUUGACCCGAGCAAACGUGUUCCAAGGACUGGAUGAAAAAUAGAGACCGGUGUUAUUACGUAUCCACGUUUGAAACGUCUUCCCACAAAGCGAUGCAUGAAUGUUUAAGCCGUGAUUCAAGGCUGCUGGAAAUCAAUUCAAGGGCUGAAGCGAAUGUUGUUUUCAACGCUCCCGUACUUCUCAACGGAUCAUAUGGAUUGGAAGAUGCGAAGACGGGGAAGAAGCUGUUAGUCUUAUGAUCACUCGAACUUCUGUCUGCGGUAACUGACUCGUACGAAUGGAGAUUCCCUUGCAACGGUCAACACCUUUUCGUCUGCGAAAAGUCUGCACAUUUGUGCACGGAUAUUCCUGAAAAGAUCCAGGAUCUCUGUCAACAGUCCCUAGGGCCAACUUGAAUCACAUUACAAUCCGUUUUGCUCACUCGUCUAUCUUCCUCACUCUUAUCCACCUCAUCCUCAUAUUCCCGCUUCAGACACCCUGUCCCUUACCCAACCAUUCUCCUCCACUGUAUUCAUCCUCUUCCCCCCACAUUCACCUACAUUCCUCUUUCACUAUCAAUCUCCUUCCUUCGCGCCACCUCUCCCACUCUUCCCUCCCCCGCACUGUUCUCCUCACCUCCUUUUCUUUUAUCUCUGUCCCUCCUCCAGCCAAUCUCACCUCACUCCUCUGCACUCUGGUCCACUGAUUACCCAUCCUGGGAUACAGAAUUGUGCGGAUUCACUCUAUUUAUGUCCCUCGGGGUGUUAUACACCUCUAUAGUGGUACACGUGCUCCCCAAAAAAUAAACUCCUCACGCCAGACCGGUCUCCACAAGUCAGCCACCCGAAUCCCAGCAACAUCCUCGUAAAUCUCCCUCUGCACUCUUUCCAGCUCAUCUUUCCUACUGCAGGGCGACCAGAACGAACACAGGACUCCAAGUGUGGGUUCACCGAUGACUUGUACAACUGCAAUGUGAUCUCCCGACUCCUGUACUCAGUGAACACCAGCGUGCCACAUGUCCUGUCUAUCUGUAUCGCGUGUUUGCAACCGGAAUCACCAUCUGACUUAUUGUCUGUGACUUAUACCACCCGAGAGUUGAUCAUUUCU